rnacentral:rRNA from 1 species
UAGGGAAUCUUCGGCAAUGGGUUUGAACCCUGGGGGAGCACCGCCGCGCGACNCCCGCGGGGUUUGAAAAAAGUUUUUUUUUUUUUNAAAAUCUUUUUUUUUAAAAAAAAAAANUUGGGGGGGGGGGAAAAAUUCCCCCCAAAGGGGGUUUUUUCCCCAAAAAGGGGGGGGGAAAUUUGGGCCCCCCCCCCCGGGUAAAUAUUAGGUUCCGGGGUUUUUCCGGGAUUUUUGGGGGGUAAGGGGGGCCAGGGGGGGUAAAAAAAUUUGGAAGUGAAAGGCAGUGGCUCAACCAUUGUAGGCUUUGGAAACUGUUUAACUUGAGUGCAGAAGGGGAGAGUGGAAUUCCAUGUGUAGCGGUGAAAUGCGUAGAUAUAUGGAGGAACACCGGUGGCGAAAGCGGCUCUCUGGUCUGUAACUGACGCUGAGGCUCGAAAGCGUGGGGAGCGAACAGGAUUAGAUACCCUGGUAGUCCACGCCGUAAACGAUGAGUGCUAGGUGUUAGGUCCUUUCCGGGACUUAGUGCCGCAGCUAACGCAUUAAGCACUCCGCCUGGGGAGUACGACCGCAAGGUUG